CCUACGGGUGUCUGCAGUGAGGAAUAUUGGUCAAUGGGCGUAAGCCUGAACCAGCCAAGUCGCGUGAGGGAUGAAGGUUCUAUGGAUUGUAAACCUCUUUUAUAAGGGAAUAAAGUGCGGGACGUGUCCCGUUUUGUAUGUACCAUAUGAAUAAGGAUCGGCUAACUCCGUGCCAGCAGCCGCGGUAAUACGGAGGAUCCGAGCGUUAUCCGGAUUUAUCGGGUUUAAAGGGUGCGUAGGCGGCCUGUUAAGUCAGCGGUGAAAGUCUGUGGCUCAACCAUAGAAUUGCCGUUGAAACUGGGAGUCUUGAGUAUGUUUGAGGCGGGCGGAAUGCGUGGUGUAGCGGUGAAAUGCUUAGAUAUCACGCAGAACCCCGAUUGCGAAGGCAGCCUGCCGAGCCAUGACUGACGCUGAUGCACGAAAGCGUGGGUAUCAAACAGGAUUAGAUACCCCAGUAGUC
rnacentral:rRNA from 1 species